GCCCUUGUUGAUUAAUGGAAAUUGCCUACUGUCCUUGGGUGGUAAAAUGUUUACAAUGCUAAGUAGGAGACGGAGGUUCGAAUCCUCUCGAGGGCA